GACGAACGCUGGCGGCGUGCCUAAUACAUGCAAGUAGAACGCUGACUACUUUAGCUUGCUAGAGUAGAAGGAGUUGCGAACGGGUGAGUAACGCGUAGGUAACCUGCCUACUAGCGGGGGAUAACUAUUGGAAACGAUAGCUAAUACCGCAUAACAGUGUUUAACACAUGUUAGAUGCUUGAAAGAUGCAAUUGCAUCACUAGUAGAUGGACCUGCGUUGUAUUAGCUAGUUGGUGGGGUAACGGCCCACCAAGGCGACGAUACAUAGCCGACCUGAGAGGGUGAUCGGCCACACUGGGACUGAGACACGGCCCAGACUCCUACGGGAGGCAGCAGUAGGGAAUCUUCGGCAAUGGGGGCAACCCUGACCGAGCAACGCCGCGUGAGUGAAGAAGGUUUUCGGAUCGUAAAGCUCUGUUGUAAGAGAAGAACGUGUGUGAGAGUGGAAAGUUCACACAGUGACGGUAACUUACCAGAAAGGGACGGCUAACUACGUGCCAGCAGCCGCCGUAA
rnacentral:rRNA from 1 species